rnacentral:rRNA from 1 species
UCCAAGUUCCAACGUAUUAAGCCCUUUCGGGGCUGUUAUUAUCUGGCGCAACGCGGGUGUAGAUAACACGUUGGGCAAUCUGCCCCUGCACGUCGUGGGUACAAGCCCCUGAGAAACGCGGGUCUAAGUACCGUGAUAUGACCGUCUUGGGCAUCCUUGACGGUGUAAAGCUCCGGCGGUGCAAGAUGAGCCCGCUGCCUAUCAGCUUGUUGGUGAGGUAAUGGCUCACCAAGGCGACGACGGGUAGCCGGCCUGAGAGGGCGACCGGCCACACUGGGACUGAGACAGUCUCAACUACUAUAUACGGGAGGCAGCAGUGGGGAAUAUUGCACAAUGGGCGAAAGCCUGAUGCAGCGACGCCGCGUGAGGGAUGACGGCCUUCGGGUUGUAAACCUCUUUCAGCAGGGAAGAAGCGAAAGUGACGGUACCUGCAGAAGAAGCGCCGGCUAACUACGUGCCAGCAGCCGCGGUAAUACGUAGGGCGCAAGCGUUGUCCGGAAUUAUUGGGCGUAAAGAGCUCGUAGGCGGCUUGUCACGUCGGUUGUGAAAGCCCGGGGCUUAACCCCGGGUCUGCAGUCGAUACGGGCAGGCUAGAGUUCGGUAGGGGAGAUCGGAAUUCCUGGUGUAGCGGUGAAAUGCGCAGAUAUCAGGAGGAACACCGGUGGCGAAGGCGGAUCUCUGGGCCGAUACUGACGCUGAGGAGCGAAAGCGUGGGGAGCGAACAGGAUUAGAUACCCUGGUAGUCCACGCCGUAAACGGUGGGCACUAGGUGUGGGCAACAUUCCACGUUGUCCGUGCCGCAGCUAACGCAUUAAGUGCCCCGCCUGGGGAGUACGGCCGCAAGGCUAAAACUCAAAGGAAUUGACGGGGGCCCGCACAAGCGGCGGAGCAUGUGGCUUAAUUCGACGCAACGCGAAGAACCUUACCAAGGCUUGACAUACACCGGAAACGUCUGGAGACAGGCGCCCCCUUGUGGUCGGUGUACAGGUGGUGCAUGGCUGUCGUCAGCUCGUGUCGUGAGAUGUUGGGUUAAGUCCCGCAACGAGCGCAACCCUUGUCCCGUGUUGCCAGCAGGCCCUUGUGGUGCUGGGGACUCACGGGAGACCGCCGGGGUCAACUCGGAGGAAGGUGGGGACGACGUCAAGUCAUCAUGCCCCUUAUGUCUUGGGCUGCACACGUGCUACAAUGGCCGGUACAAUGAGCUGCGAUACCGUGAGGUGGAGCGAAUCUCAAAAAGCCGGUCUCAGUUCGGAUUGGGGUCUGCAACUCGACCCCAUGAAGUCGGAGUCGCUAGUAAUCGCAGAUCAGCAUUGCUGCGGUGAAUACGUUCCCGGGCCUUGUACACAGCCGCCCGUCAACGUCAUCGAAACGUCCGGUAACACCCGAAUGCCGGUGUCCCAACCCCUUGUGGGAGGGAGCU